rnacentral:rRNA from 1 species
UAACGGCGAGUGAAGCGGCAACAGCUCAAAUUUGAAAGCUGGCUCCUCUCGGGGCCCGCGUUGUAAUUUGUAGAGGAUGCUUCGGGCGCGGCGCCGGUCCAAGUUCUCUGGAACGAGACGUCAUAGAGGGUGAGAAUCCCGUAUGCGGCUGGUGGCCUGGGCUCAUGUGAAGCUCCUUCGACGAGUCGAGUUGUUUGGGAAUGCAGCUCUAAAUGGGUGGUACAUUCCAUCUAAGGCUAAAUACUGGCCAGAGACCGAUAGCGCACAAGUAGAGUGAUCGAAAGAUGAAAAGCACUUUGGAAAGAGAGUUAAACAGUACGUGAAAUUGUUGAAAGGGAAGCGCUUGCAAUCAGACUUGCGCCGCGUUGAUCAGCCUGGGUUCUCCCAGGUGCACUCAGCGCGGCUCAGGCCAGCAUCAGUUCUGGCGGUGGGAUAAAGGCCCAGGGAAUGUAGGACGCUUCGGCAUCUGUUAUAGCCCCGGGUGCCAUGCCGCCUGCCGGGACUGAGGACCGCGCUCCGGCUAGGAUGCUGGCGUAAUGGUUGUAAGCGACCCGUCUUGAAACACGGACCAAGGAGUCUUACAGUGAUGCGAGUGUUUGGGUGUCAAACCCAUACGCGCAAUGAAAGUGAACGGAGGUGGGAACCCUCAAGGGCGCACCAUCGACCGAUCCUGAUGUCUUCGGAUGGAUUUGAGUAGGAGCAUCACUGCAGGUACCCGAAAGAUGGUGAACUAUUCGUGACUAGAGUGAAGCCAGAGGAAACUCUGGUGGAGGCUCGCAGAGGUUCUGACGUGCAAAUCGAUCUUCAAAGUUGCGUAUAGGGGCGAAAGACUAAUCGA